GAAAAAAAUACAUUCUCGAGAAGUCGGCGGCUGAUUCCUUAUUGGGGGAGUCUCUCUUCCAAUUCAAAAAAAGUUGGCAGCUGUUUAGAGAGAGGGCAGAACACGUAGAGGAGAAAAAACGCAUCACAACUGGGGAAAAACUUUGAAUUACCAACUCAAUUUGGGGCCGCAAGAUGGAAGAAGAGGAGACAAGAAAAAACAAUAAAAAAACGAGGAGGCUGCCGAAAAUUGGUCUUUCAAUUGGAGGAACAUUACAAGUGGCUGACAUGGAUUCUUUGACCAAAAUAAUUGCUGCCUUUGUAAUUGAGACAAAAAGGGCAGCUUCUGGGAAAAUUUGACAGUGGGAGGAAAUAAACAAAAUGUGGGCUGCAAUAUAUAUAUUUACACAAACAUUGGCAGCUUUGGAGGAAAUAAAUAAAUAAAUUUGAAGCU
rnacentral:lncRNA from 1 species